ACAUGUCUCAAAUUCUCAACUAUUGAGAAUAUAUGUCAUCAUCUUAUUAAUUCCUUGGACGAUUUAUGGACACAUACACAACAUGAAUGAAAAUAAAAAUCCAAAUUUAUUCAUAAUAUUUUAAAAUUAAAUACAAAUUUAUGUCCUAAAAAGAAUACAUGUGUCGGCCUGGGGACAUACAUCGAACAUAAAUAUAGUAGACCCAUCUGAAUUUUUAUCAGUUUACAUAUAACUAUUUAAACCUUAAAAAGAUUUUAUAUCUGCAGCCGAAAGUUUCAACUUUUUACAAUUAACUACUCUGCAAUUCGUAAGAUCAAUUU
rnacentral:lncRNA from 1 species